rnacentral:rRNA from 1 species
UAGGGAAUAUUGGACAAUGGGUGAGAGCCUGAUCCAGCCAUGCCGCGUGCAGGAAGAAGGCGUUAUGCGUUGUAAACUGCUUUUGCCAGGGGAUAAAAUGACCGUGCGCGGUUAAUUGAAGGUACCUGGUGAAUAAGCCACGGCUAACUACGUGCCAGCAGCCGCGGUAAUACGUAGGUGGCAAGCGUUGUCCGGAUUUAUUGGGUUUAAAGGGUGCGUAGGUGGCCCUGUAAGUCAGUGGUGAAAUAUCUCAGCUUAACUGAGAGGGUGCCAUUGAUACUGCAGGGCUUGAGUACAGAUGAGGUAGGCUGAAUUGACGGUGUAGCGGUGAAAUGCAUAGAUAUCGUCAAGAACACCGAUAGCGAAGGCAGCUUACCAAGCUGUAACUGACACUGAGACACGAAAGUGUGGGGAUCAAACAGGAUUAGAUACCCAAGUAGUCCCUGAGCGGGCUGGCAAGGCGCAU